CCCGCCUCUCCCUGACACUGUCCCCACACUGUACCCACCUGUCCCUGACACUGUCUUCUGUGUUGUCCACAUGCUGUCACUACCCUGGCCCUGCUCUCCAUGUCCAGGCCUGGGGGCAGGCAGUGUAGACACCCUGGCACCUGGGUGGCCUGAAAGGCAGAUGGGCCUCGGGGGCAGGACUGUGGCCUCGGCAGUCUGAGGGGUGGGUGGGACUUAGGGGCAGGGCUGUGUCCUCAGUGGCCUGAGGGGUGGGUGAGCCUCAGGGGCAGGGCCGUGGCCUCUCUCACCCCUGCGCUGUGCCUGCCUGCAGGUGAAGUGGAUCUUCUCCUCGGUGGUGGACCUGAAGCAGACCAUCGUCCCCGACUACAGGAACAUGAUCGGGCAGGGGCCCUAGGGUCACCCACUGUGGGGUGUCCAGGGCCGCCCAGACCCCACACAGGAGCCAAGGGCCAUGCUUAGCCACCACCCAGGCCACACCUGCCCCUGACCUCACCGCCCUCAACCCCAUGGCUCUCUGACCUCCCAGUUGCCCUCUGACCCCUGACAUGCCCCCCUUCCAGACCCUGUGCAUAGCAGGUCUACCCCAGACCUCCGCUGCUUGGUGCAUGCAGGGCACUGGGGGCCAGGUGUCCCCUCAGCAGGACAUCCCUGCCCUCUGGCCAACCAGGUGCUCACACAAAAGGAGGCAGUAGCCGGCAUACCAGGCGCCUAACCAGGCAGGAGCUGGCCCUGGAGCCAACCCCGUCCACGCCAGAAUCCUGAACACAGGUGUGGUUUCCACAUGGUGAGUGGGAGCAUCAGCCACCAAGAGGGUCUCGGUGCCAGCACCGCCCCUUGGCUGCCUGUCCACGCUGCUGGAUUCUCGGGUGGAACUCGACCCACAGGGACAGCCAGCCCCAGAGUCUGCACUGGGGAGAGGAGGGACCAGGCCCAGGACAUGGCCACCUCCCACCCACUCCACCGAGAUCACUCAGAGAAGAGCCUGGGCCACGUGGUCGCUGCAGGAGCCCUACAGGGCAAGGCUGAGGACAGCCCAAGGAAGGGGUGGGCAUCUGCCCAGACAGGUCUCCCAGAGGAGGCCUGGUGACCAGGUCCCAGGCAGGCAAGACUCAGCUUUGGUGGGACCUGAGGACAGAGGAGGCCCAGGAGCACCGGGGAGAGAAGUGGAGGGACACCAGGAGAGCCAGGAGCGUGAACACAGCACAACUCAUCACAGAGGCUGAAGUCCAGCCCCAAGUCACGUGCAGCAGGAACAAGCAGCCACUCUGGGGGCAUGAGGUGGAGACGCAAGACGGCAAAGAGGGUGCCCGUGGCCUUGGGAAAGCGGGGCUGCUGGCCACGACUGCUGGACAGAGGCUCCCACGCUCUGCUGCCCGCGUCACGCCGUUCGGUGAAUGUCACACAGAAUCCGCAGACAGGAUGGGAGGCACGAGCGGGAGCGCGGCAAACGCCUGCCUCAGCCGUCAGGGAGGAUUCCCGGGCUCACUGGAAGGAGGUGCCACGAUUUCAGCUUUGGUCGCUUUUUUCUUCUUUUAAAUUUUCUAAAGCUCAUUAAUCGUCUUUAAUGUUUCUCGUUUUUGAUGACAAUAAAAUAUCCUUUUUAAGUCUUGUACUUUGUGAU
ensembl:lncRNA